UUUCAGGGUGUCCACCAAACAGGACCAGCAUUAGAGUUGCUGUGGCCCACGGCAGAAAGCCAAAGCCCCACUGCAUGGGGCUGAAGCCUGAGCAACCUGUGGGGU